UAUAGAGAAUACCGUUUCCACGAAAACGGUCAAAUCCAAAGCGACUGUCUGAACAUCUCUUUUUGAAAAUGGGUAUAAUUCUGCUGGGUCAGUAGUUCAGUUGGUUAGAAUGCCGCUCUGAUACAGCGGAGGUCGAAGAUUCGAGUUCUUCCUGACCCACCACUUAAAUUGAUGAGGUUGGAAUCAAAAACAAAUACUUGUUUUUGGUUCCAGAUGUUCUGAUGAAUAUCUUCGGAAUCUGCUUUUAUUAGCAAUCAUUGUAAAUCGGUUUUUAAUGUCGUAAAUCAAACUUUAUGGAAACAUGACUUUUGAUUUAUUGAACAUCGUAAUCUCAAAAAUCUUUCUAAAUAGAGUAAUCACGAAAGUGAUAAUUCAAUUAGAGAAGCAAGAAUCAACUUAAAUGCUUAAAAAACUCAUUAAGUUCUUUUGAUUGUGUUUGAAGACUUUCUCUUCAAGCAUAAGAUAAAAAGUAACAAAGGGUGUUUAGUGGAUGCCUUGGCAAUCAGAGGCGAUGAAGGACGUGAAAGACUGCGAUAAGUCCGGGUGAGGCGUCAAUAUCCUUUGACCCCGGAAUUUC
rnacentral:misc_RNA from 1 species